rfam:Triticum aestivum genome assembly, contig: Triticum_aestivum_CS42_TGACv1_scaffold_414560_5BL
CAAAUAUCCCAAAAUCCUUGUUUUAGAUUUGUUAAAUACGGAUGUAUCAAGUCACAUUUUAGUAUUAGAUACAUCUGUAUCUAGACAAAUUUAAGACAAGAAUUUUGGGACCGAGGGAGUAGCUU